rnacentral:rRNA from 1 species
UACGUAGGUGGCAAGCGUUGUCCGGAUUUAUUGGGUUUAAAGGGUGCGUAGGCGGUCUAUUAAGUCAGUGGUGAAAUAUGGCAGCUUAACUGUCAGGGUGCCAUUGAUACUGAUGGACUUGAGUGAAGUCGAAGUAGGCGGAAUUGACGGUGUAGCGGUGAAAUGCUGAGAUAUCGUCAAGAACACCGAUAGUGAAGACAGCUUACUAGGCUUAUACUGACGCUGAGGCACGAAAGUGUGGGGAUCAAACAGG